rnacentral:lncRNA from 15 species
CUUGACCUGAAAUUUGUCUUGAUACACAAAAGGUUUUUAUCAUGUUUUUCUGAAUACAUAUUUUUUUCCUUCAGGGUAUCCAGGGUAACAUUGGACCAUGGGGUGAGAUUGGGCCACGUGGCCCUCCAGGUGAUCAGGGGCCAAAAGGUCCAGUUGGCCCCCUUGGAGUUACAGGUUACCCAGGUAAAGAUGGACCUCAAGGACCAACUGGAUCAGCUGGUGUCAAAGGAAAUAAGGGAUCCAAAGGAGCUUUGGGGCAGGAGGGAGUCGCUGGUCUCGAUGGGUCUAGUUGGACUAAGGGGAUCUGAGGGGCCAGCUGGACAAAAAGGCAAAUCUGUGAGUUAAUGUAUAAAUGUGUCAUUUUAUUUUCCAAACUGUGGAUAAAUGUUUCAUGUUCUAUUAUACAUGAUUUAAUGGCCUAGCAUGUAGAUGGAGUAUAAAAUUAUCAAUCAAACUAUGAAAAAGGUUUGUUUUACUUACCUUUCAGGGUGACAAGGGGAACACUGGGCCUCCUGGAAAUAAAGGGUCAAAGGGAGCUGAGGGCAGCAGAGGCAACCAAGGGCCACAGGGAUCAAAGGGCCCUCCAGGGAAACAGGUGGACAGGAGUUGUGUCUAAAGUAUAGUUUACUAUAACAUUGCAGCCCAUCUCACUUCUGUACAGUGUGACACAAAACAAUGCCAUCUGCAUCCUUUGAA